rnacentral:rRNA from 1 species
CAAUAGCGUAUAUUAAAGUUGUUGCGGUUAAAAAGCUCGUAGUUGGAUUUCUGCUGAGAACGACCGGUCCGCCCUCUGGGUGUGUAUCUGGCUCUUUCUUGGCAUCUUCUUGGUGAACGUUGCUGCACUUGACUGUGUGGAGCGCUACCCAGGACUUUUACUUUGAGGAAAUUAGAGUGUUUCAAGCAGGCAUACGCCUUGAAUACAUUAGCAUGGAAUAAUAAGAUAGGACCUCGGUUCUAUUUUGUUGGUUUCUAGAGCUGAGGUAAUGAUUAAUAGGGAUAGUUGGGGGCAUUCGUAUUUAACUGUCAGAGGUGAAAUUCUUGGAUUUGUUUAAGACGGACUACUGCGAAAGCAUUUGCCAAGGAUGUUUUCAUUGA